CACUGACCCUUUAGCCUGCUUCCUUGAGCUUCUGGCAAAGAUAUCUCUAAUGAGACAGAGAGGGGUAUUUUUUUUUAAUAUACACCCCUAUAUACUUAUUAACCCUUAAUAGAGAACACACUGUCUCAUUAGAGAUAUCUUUUGCCAGAAGCUCAAGGAAGCAGGCUGAAGGGUCAGUGU